rnacentral:rRNA from 1 species
AACGUAGGACGCAAGCAUUAUCCGGAAUUACUGGGCGUAAAGAGCAAGCAGGCGGUUGGAUAAGUCAAUUAUGAAAGCUCUCGGCUAAACUGGGAGAGGAUAGUUGAUACUGUUCGACUAGAGUUGAGAAGAGGAACGUAGAAUUCCGCGUGUAGUGGUGAAAUGCGUAGAUAUGCGGAGGAAUACCAGAGGCGAAGGCGACGUUCUGGUCUCAAACUGACGCUGAGGUGCGAAAGCAUGGGUAGCGAACGGG